GAUUAUUCACUCACGUUGCCG
rnacentral:misc_RNA from 1 species